rnacentral:tRNA from 1 species
UGUAGUUCAGUGGUAGAGCGCAUGCCUAGAACGCAUGAGCACUGGGUUCGAUCCUCAGCA